CCCUUAGAUGUUCUGGGCUGCACGCGCGCUACACUGAAGCGUUCAACGAGUAUUCACCUUGCCCGGGAGGGUUGGGUAAUCUUUUGAAAACGCUUCGUGAUGGGGAUAGAUUAUUGCAAUUAUUAAUCUUCAACGAGGAAUUCCUAGUAAGCGCGAGUCAUCAGCUCGUGCUGAUUACGUCCCUGCCCUUUGUACACACCGCCCGUCGCUCCUACCGAUCGAAGAGUUAGGUGAAUUGUUUUGAUCGAUAAGAUUUGACUAUGGUCAACUCUCGUUGGGAAAUUCUGUGAAUCUGACUGUUUAGAGGAAGGAAAAGUCGUAACA
rnacentral:rRNA from 1 species